GACGAACGCUGGCGGCGUGCUUAACACAUGCAAGUCGAACGGAAAGGCCCUGCUUUUGGGGUGCUCGAGUGGCGAACGGGUGAGUAACACGUGAGUAACCUGCCCUUGACUUUGGGAUAACUUCAGGAAACUGGGGCUAAUACCGGAUAGGAGCUCCUGCUGCAUGGUGGGGGUUGGAAAGUUUCGGCGGUUGGGGAUGGACUCGCGGCUUAUCAGCUUGUUGGUGGGGUAGUGGCUUACCAAGGCUUUGACGGGUAGCCGGCCUGAGAGGGUGACCGGCCACAUUGGGACUGAGAUACGGCCCAGACUCCUACGGGAGGCAGCAGUGGGGAAUAUUGCACAAUGGGCGGAAGCCUGAUGCAGCAACGCCGCGUGCGGGAUGACGGCCUUCGGGUUGUAAACCGCUUUCGCCUGUGACGAAGCGUGAGUGACGGUAAUGGGUAAAGAAGCACCGGCUAACUACGUG
rnacentral:rRNA from 1 species